rnacentral:rRNA from 1 species
AACGAACGCUGGCGGCACGCCUAACACAUGCAAGUCGAACGAAGUAGCAAUACUUAGUGGCAGACGGGUGAGUAACAUGUGGGUAUCUACCCUUUGGCCUGGAAUAACACGAGGAAACUUGUGCUAAUACCGGAUAAGUCUUUACGGAGAAAGCUUUAUGCACCAUUGGAUGAGCCCGCACUUGAUUAGUUUGUUGGUAGGGUAAUGGCCUACCAAGGCGACGAUCGGUAGCUGGUCUGAGAGGAUGAUCAGCCACACUGGGACUGAGACACGGCCCAGACUCCUACGGGAGGCAGCAGUGGGGAAUAUUGGACAAUGGGGGCAACCCUGAUCCAGCAAUGCCGCGUGUGUGAUGAAGGCCUUAGGGUUGUAAAGCACUUUCACUGGUGAAGAUGAUGACGGUAACCAGAGAAGAAGCCCCGGCUAACUUCGUGCCAGCAGCCGCGGUAAUACGAAGGGGGCGAGCGUUGUUCGGAAUUACUGGGCGUAAAGGGAGCGCAGGCGGUUCAUUUAGUUAGGCGUGAAAGCCCCGGGCUCAACCUGGGAACCGCGCUUAAUACUGAUGAACUAGAAAACAGAAGAGGGUAGUGGAAUUCCCAGUGUAGAGGUGAAAUUCGUA